CAAUAGCGUAUAUUAAAGUUGUUGCAGUUAAAAAGCUCGUAGUUGAAUUUUUGCUUGCCGCCGAUGUCGGAACUUCCGUACGUUCGACGGCGUGCAUCCUUGGGUGGAACCUGUGUGGCAUUAGGUUGUCGUGCAGGGGAUGCUCAUCGUUUACUGUGAAAAAAUUAGAGUGUUCAAAGCAGGCUUACGCCGUUGAAUAUAUUAGCAUGGAAUAAUAAGAUAGGACCUUGGUACUAUUUUGUUGGUUUGCGCACCGAGGUAAUGAUUAACAGGGACAGUUGGGGGUAUUCGUAUUCCAUUGCCAGAGGUGAAAUUCUUGGAUUUCUGGAAGACGAACUACUGCGAAAGCAUUUACCAAGGAUGUUUUCAUUA
rnacentral:rRNA from 1 species